UACGGAGGAUCCAAGCGUUAUCCGGAUUUAUUGGGUUUAAAGGGUGCGUAGGCGGCACGGUAAGUCAGAGGUGAAAUCCCGGAGCUCAACUUCGGAAUUGCCUCCGAUACUGCCGUGCUUGAGGACUGGAGAGGAGAUUGGAAUUCACAGUGGAGCAGUGAAAUGCGUAGAUAUUGUGAGGAACACUAGUGGCGAAGGCGAAUCUCUGGACAGUUCCUGACGCUGAGGCACGAAGGCCAGGGGAGCAAACGGG
rnacentral:rRNA from 1 species